GAUUACCACUACUCAUUAUUGGA
rnacentral:siRNA from 1 species